rnacentral:rRNA from 1 species
CUACGGGGGGCUGCAGUGAGGAAUAUUGGUCAAUGGGCGCAAGCCUGAACCAGCCAUGCCGCGUGCAGGAAGAAGGUCCUAUGGAUUGUAAACUGCUUUUAUUUGGGAAUAAACCUCUGGUCGUGCACCGGAGCUGAAGGUACCAAAUGAAUAAGCACCGGCUAACUCCGUGCCAGCAGCCGCGGUAAUACGGAGGGUGCAAGCGUUAUCCGGAAUCAUUGGGUUUAAAGGGUCCGCAGGCGGACUUAUAAGUCAGUGGUGAAAGCCUACAGCUUAACUGUAGAACUGCCAUUGAUACUGUAAGUCUUGAAUUCGGUCGAAGUGGGCGGAAUGUGUAGUGUAGCGGUGAAAUGCUUAGAUAUUACACAGAACACCGAUAGCGAAGGCAGCUCACUAGGCCUGGAUUGACGCUCAGGGACGAAAGCGUGGGGAUCAAACAGGAUUAGAUACCCCGGUAGUC